CGCGUAGGCGGCCUGAUAAGUAGGGGGUGAAAUCCUGCGGCUUAACCGCAGGGCUGCCUUCUAAACUGUUGGGCUUGAGCACAGUAGAGGCAGGUGGAAUUCCCGGUGUAGCGGUGGAAUGCGUAGAGAUCGGGAAGAACAUCAGUGGCGAAGGCGGCCUGCUGGGCUGUUGCUGACGCUGAGGCGCGACAGCGUGGGGAGCAAACA
rnacentral:rRNA from 1 species